GACGAACGCUGGCGGCGUGCUUAACACAUGCUAGUCGAACGGUAACAGGUCUUCGGAUGCUGACGAGUGGCGAACGGGUGAGUAAUACAUCGGAACGUGCCCAGUCGUGGGGGAUAACUACUCGAAAGAGUAGCUAAUACCGCAUACGAUCUGAGGAUGAAAGCGGGGGACCUUCGGGCCUCGCGCGAUUGGAGCGGCCGAUGGCAGAUUAGGUAGUUGGUGGGAUAAAAGCUUACCAAGCCGACGAUCUGUAGCUGGUCUGAGAGGACGACCAGCCACACUGGGACUGAGACACGGCCCAGACUCCUACGGGAGGCAGCAGUGGGGAAUUUUGGACAAUGGGCGAAAGCCUGAUCCAGCAAUGCCGCGUGCAGGAUGAAGGCCUUCGGGUUGUAAACUGCUUUUGUACGGAACGAAAAAGCUUCUCCUAAUACGGGAGGCCCAUGACGGUACCGUAAGAAUAAGCACCGGCUAACUACGUGCCAGCCGCCGCGGUAA
rnacentral:rRNA from 1 species